UUCAAUCUUCAGCCAAAAGAUGGUUCUGGUAUAAUAGUAUAAAAAGUUGUAAUGGUCUUGAACUGUAACCAUUAUAUAUAGCUAUUGCAAAACCGUUAAUACCAUGGUUUUUCAAAAAUGGUUGUAUUAUAUAAGUAAUAUUAUGAUAACAGAUAUUUUUUGUUGAUCCAUAAAAUAAUUUCACAGUAUGUUUAGCGAUGUCUACAGAUCUUUCACAAGAGGAAGGACACCUCGAAGUCCAUAUAAUUCGUAGCGUCAUGUCAUUUCUAAAGCCAAGUUUCUUGCCAUGUAUAAGAUUUUUGUUGUAAAAUUUCCAUAUCCAUUUCCAUUUCGUUAAACUCCCAAAAGGAAGCUCAUUUAAGUGGUUUCAGACGGUUCAUCUCGGGCAUCCAAUUUCCAUAGAUCGCUAACCGAUCUGCAGCAUGAUUAUCUCAUCCACAGAUGUGCACGACUUAUGAGAACCCUCAAAAAAGAGCAGACUAAAACUUCUAAUUUCAUCGACUGGGGAUAUUACACAAAUACUCUAUAAGGAUUCGCAUCCAAAAUAUAUACUUGAUUGUGGACGUAUUCUAAUUACUUUGUGUGCAAGGAAGACGAGACGCCGCCCUCAUUAUUUAGUAGAGAAGAUAACACCAAAAAAUAUUAUACACAAUCCGAUUGACUUCCGUCAACUUGGUAUCCUUAAUUAUCAUCCGGUUCGGCCCACUCAAGGUUGAUUAAUUAGUUUACACGCUAAACUAAUUAUCCACUUGCUUCAACAAGAAACAAGCCGCUAGCUUCCAGCUAUUUUUAUACUGGGGAUGAGCUCCGUCGAACUCGCUAAAUUUCGUGCACACAUAACGCGUCCGUCUGAGAGAGGAGAAUCGAAGCAAUGGCUUGGCUCGAGGCCGUCACCUCCUUGGCUACACUGGCGUAUCAAUUUUUCCGGGGUGGCUCGGGAGAACGUGGGGAACGCCGGAGAGAGGAGUACUACAAUUCCUACGGCACAGAAUGGAACUCUCAGUAUCCAUAUGGCUUCGCAACAAAUCGAUUCUGUGUAUGGCCAUGGAAGAGAGCGUUACGAGCAGAGAGGUUCAGGGAAGCACCACCGUGGCGAGCCUCAAGAAGAGUGGUACUCGUAUCGGAUACGGGACCAGAGCGGUGACACGGAGAUUGACCGUGGUCAGGAGCCGGCGCGCGGAGGAGAAGAAGAAGAAGAAGAAAGGAGGCAGGUUUGCCCUGUGCCGACGUGUGGAUUAUGAGGAGAGAGGGAUGAUGACGAAGAAGUACGUGGACUCUAGAGGAAGGCAAGUCAUAGAGCAGAAGCCUUAUAGCUCGAGGAUGUAUGAGGAGGACCAGUACCUCCCAGUAAUCGGAGAUUAUGAGGAGGGCAUCGGGAGGAGAGAGGGGUGGUUAUCAAGUGCUUGAUCAUGGCUGCCUUCUUGCUUACUGUGGAGGGUUGGGUCUUGCACAGUAAAAUUGUGUCCCAGCUUUGUCUUUAAAAAUAAAAGAAAAAAAAAGAAAGGAAAAAAAAAACUUUCUCGUGCAAGACAAUUUCCAUCUCCUACUGUUUCCUCUCCUGUAAACUUCUGUUUCCUCUCGUUCUCUGCAUAGGCUAUAUAUGUCCAUCUUGUUCUUCUUUAUUUUUGCGUUAAAGGAGAGGGAAAAAAAUCUCUGUUAGUUUGCUUGUAGAUUGGUGGACUUGUAUUUUAAAUGUAUCUAAUCUUGCAUAAAUAACGAAAUUUGCGUUCUCUCCA